AACGAACGCUGGCGGCAGGCCUAACACAUGCAAGUCGAACGCAUCGCAAGAUGAGCGGCGCACGGGUGAGUAACACGUGGGAAUGUGCCCUUUGGUUCGGAAUAACGUCUGGAAACGGACGCUAAUACCGGAUGUCCCCUGCGGGGGAAAGAUUUAUCGCCAAAGGAGCAGCCCGCGGCUGAGUAGGUAGUUGGUGGGGUAAAGGCCUACCAAGCCGACGAUCAGUAGCUGGUCUGAGAGGAUGAUCAGCCACACUGGGACUGAGACACGGCCCAGACUCCUACGGGAGGCAGCAGUGGGGAAUAUUGGACAAUGGGCGCAAGCCUGAUCCAGCCAUGCCGCGUGAGUGAUGAAGGCCUUCGGGUUGUAAAGCUCUUUCGCACACGACGAUGAUGACGGUAGUGUGAGAAGAAGCCCCGGCUAACUUCGUGCCAGCCGCCGCCGUAACAC
rnacentral:rRNA from 1 species